rnacentral:rRNA from 1 species
AUUGAACGCUGGCGGCAUGCUUUACACAUGCAAGUCGAACGGCAGCGGGGGCUUCGGCCUGCCGGCGAGUGGCGAACGGGUGAGUAAUGCAUCGGAACGUGCCCAGUCAUGGGGGAUAACUACGCGAAAGCGUAGCUAAUACCGCAUACGCCCUGAGGGGGAAAGCGGGGGGAUCGCAAGACCUCGCGUGAUUGGAGCGGCCGAUGUCGGAUUAGCUAGUUGGUGGGGUAAAGGCCUACCAAGGCGACGAUCCGUAGCGGGUCUGAGAGGAUGAUCCGCCACACUGGGACUGAGACACGGCCCAGACUCCUACGGGAGGCAGCAGUGGGGAAUUUUGGACAAUGGGGGCAACCCUGAUCCAGCCAUGCCGCGUGAGUGAAGAAGGCCUUCGGGUUGGUUAAA